rnacentral:rRNA from 1 species
UACGAAGGGGGCUAGCGUUGCUCGGAAUGACUGGGCGUAAAGGGCGCGUAGGCGGUGUGUCAAGUCAGGCGUGAAAGCCCCGGGCUCAACCUGGGAACCGCGCUUGAGACUGGCACGCUCGAGUUCGGGAGAGGAUGGUGGAAUUCCCAGUGUAGAGGUGAAAUUCGUAGAUAUUGGGAAGAACACCGAUGGCGAAGGCAGCCAUCUGGACCGACACUGACGCUGAGGCGCGAAAGCGUGGGGAGCAAACAGG